AGUUGCACAGGUUUUUAAGAGUGUUUUUUUUUUUUUUUUACGGUUCUAGUGGCGAUUAAUAAAAUUUCUACCAUAUGAACAAGAGACAUAUUCUUGAAAAUCCGGCUAAUCAUCUUUGUGGCCUUCAAAAAUUUGUCGUGGUGUGAGAGCGAAGCGUUUCAGAAUUACAGACUUACUCUUCACCAGACGGCGUUGUCAUCGGCUGUCUUGUUCCCGGCUGUUGGUGUCUCCUCUCUUCUAUCCUGUGCCGUGGCCAGCUGAGGACGUCUUUUAUCACAGUCUUCGCAGCAUUUCAAGAUACAUCUGAAUCAACUGUGUGUUAAAAGUCAAGCACCAACAAGCACUGCACUGGGUAUGGAUCUGGGGGACUUCACAGCUUACAUAGAAGGAAGUAAUUUCCCUUCAUUAUCUUCCAGCUUCUUGUGCACACUUUUUUGUUAAGUAUCAAGUGAUCAUCUUUACAUUUUUCAAUGCUCUGUGUAUCCAGACUGCUCCAGCACUCCACCUCCCUCUUUUGCUCACCCAUGUUUCCAAACCAGUCACUUAACAUUCUCUCUCUCUCUCUCUCUCUCUCUCUCUCUCUCUCUCUCUCUCUCUCUCUCUCUCUCUCUCUCUCUCUCUCUCUCUCACACACACACACACACACACACACACAA